UGGGGAAUUUUGGACAAUGGGCGAAAGCCUGAUCCAGCAAUGCCGCGUGUGUGAAGAAGGCCUUCGGGUUGUAAAGCACUUUUGUCCGGAAAGAAAUCCUUGGCUCUAAUACAGUCGGGGGAUGACGGUACCGGAAGAAUAAGCACCGGCUAACUACGUGCCAGCAGCCGCGGUAAUACGUAGGGUGCAAGCGUUAAUCGGAAUUACUGGGCGUAAAGCGUGCGCAGGCGGUUUGCUAAGACCGAUGUGAAAUCCCCGGGCUCAACCUGGGAACUGCAUUGGUGACUGGCAGGCUAGAGUAUGGCAGAGGGGGGUAGAAUUCCACGUGUAGCAGUGAAAUGCGUAGAGAUGUGGAGGAAUACCGAUGGCGAAGGCAGCCCCCUGGGCCAAUACUGACGCUCAUGCACGAAAGCGUGGGGAGCAAACAGGAUUAGAUACCCUGGUAGUCCACGCCCUAAACGAUGUCAACUAGUUGUUGGGGGAUUCAUUUCCUUAGUAACGUAGCUAACGCGUGAAGUUGACCGCCUGGGGGAGUACGGUCGCAAGAUUAAAACUCAAAUGAAUUGAC
rnacentral:rRNA from 1 species